UUUCUUCUGCAACCAGGAUUCAA
rnacentral:miRNA from 1 species